rnacentral:rRNA from 1 species
UACGAAGGGUGCAAACGUUGCUCGGAAUUAUUGGGCGUAAAGCGCACGUAGGCGGCUUUUCAAGUCCCAUGUGAAAGCCCACGGCUUAACCGUGGAAGUGCAUGGGAAACUGGAAGGCUUGAGUACUUAAGAGGAUCGCGGAACUCCCGGUGUAGAGGUGAAAUUCGUAGAUAUCGGGAGGAACACCAGUGGCGAAGGCGGCGAUCUGGGAAGAUACUGACGCUGAGGUGCGAAAGCGUGGGGAGCAAACAGG